rnacentral:tRNA from 1 species
GGGCCGGUAGCUCAGUUUGGUUUCCAUCUAAAAUGGCCAAAAAGAGCGUUGAGCUGAUAACUCAAAGGUCGCCGGUUCAAAUCCGGUCCGGCCCA